AACGCGAAGAACCUUACCAGGGCUUGACAUGCACGGUGCACCUCUAGAGAUAGAGGGUCCUUUGGGGUCGUGCACAGGUGCUGCAUGGCUGUCGUCAGCUCGUGUCGUGAGAUGUUGGGUUAAGUCCCGCAACGAGCGCAACCCUUAUCUCCAGUUGCUACCAUUUAGUUGAGCACUCUGGCGAAACCGCCUCGGAUAACGGGGAGGAAGGUGGGGAUGACGUCAAGUCCUCAUGGCCUUUAUGUCCAGGGCUACACACGUGCUACAAUGGCCGGUACAAACCGCUGCAACCCCGCGAGGGUGAGCUAAUCGGAAAAAGCCGGCCUCAGUUCGGAUUGGAGUCUGCAACUCGACUCCAUGAAGCUGGAAUCGCUAGUAAUCGUGGAUCAGCAUGCCACGGUGAAUACGUUCCCGGGCCUUGUACACACCGCUAGUC
rnacentral:rRNA from 1 species